rnacentral:rRNA from 1 species
AACGACCAUACCAUGCUGAAUAUACCGGUUCUCGUUAGAUUAUCGAAGUCAAGCAUCAUUGGGCGCGGUCAGUACUUGGAUGGGUGACCACCUGGGAACACCGAAUGCCGUU